rnacentral:lncRNA from 1 species
GCUCUAAUAUCUGCGCUAAAAUGUCCCCUAGUAGCUUUUCGCUAAAAUUAUCUGCGCCAAUCUGUUUUCUUGUCCAUAGUUGAGAUUAAAUUUCUUUUUGUUUAUGAAAUUGGAAAAUUUGAUUAAAUUAAUUUUAUUGUUGUUAAUUUUGAAUUUGCUUUCAACUGUUGAUUCUUUUAACAUUUAAUACAGGCGAUGAAACAAACGACUCAACUAAUAAAAAUUUUAUUCGGAAAUUAUCAAAAGCGGAUAAAAGAAUAAUCCCUUGACACCAUUUGCGAGUAUGAUGGUCUUGUGAAACAAUGAUAGUCCGUCGGAAGGGGGCGAUAAAUGACUGACCCGUGUUAAGAGAGAGCAAUAUCUCUUGCACAUAAAACUCACCCUUUUAGAUUUCGAAAAGAGCAGGCUAAAGCUACAAGGAAGCACUCGCACCCUCAAAGUGGAAACGGAUUAAUAUAAGUUGUAAUAACUUGUUUCCCAAUCCAAUAUAAAUAAAUAUGUUUAAACUGAAAGAAAAAACAGCA